GAGAGAGAGAGAGAGAGAGAGAGAGAGAGAGAGAGAGAGAGAGAGAGAGAGAGAGAGAGAGAGAGAGAGAGAGAGAGAGAGAGAGAGAGAGAGAGAGAGAGAUGGAGAGAAGGAGAGAUGUCUCAUAAUUUACUUAUCAUUUCUUGCCUAAUGUUUGUCUUUCAAAAACGCAAGACCCAGGCUGCAUGGAAGUUUCAUAAAGGGAAUAUAAAAUUGUUAAUUAAAAAUAAAACGAAUUAAGAAUUCUCGUUUAACAAUCCUCCCACAAGGCGCUGACAUUUCGCCUCAUAACUGGUAAGGCAGCAUCGAAAUACGACACUACACAAAGUGACACGUAUAGGGAGCUAACACUUAUUACUGAGUUAAGAUAAUAAUACAUGAAUGCGUAAAAGCAAAUAAUAAAAAGAAAUGAUAAACAAAGCAUAAAAGAACAAAUUUAACUCUUCGUUCUCUUUACUGAGAUUCGUUUUUUUUCUGCCCUGACAAGGUGUGAGGCAGAGACGAGAAAAGAAAAUCUACGAUAUGAUAUGAAGGGACAGGCGUCCGCAAGACCUCACGCCAAGUAUCCGGCAGUUUGUAUGGGAAUAUAUAAGUGAGUAGUAAACGGGGACGAUGGCUUUGACUUUCAUAUGGAAGAGCACUAGCAACACGAAUCAAGGUCUGGGUGAAGCGCAGUGCGAGAAGGCGCGUGUUCUGCGUCCCAAGGAGAGGAACCCCUGCACCCGAUUCUGGGGAAGCCUCGGCCUCCUCCUGGGCAGGGCGUGCCCUCGCCGGCGGGCGGGGGCGCUGGGAAGGCGCCUGGAAGCCAUCUUGGACUUUCAACAAGUCACAUGAGAGUGAUAAAGACUCCAGCUCUGCUCCAUGAUAGCUUGCACCCCUUAAUCCUUAAUCACUGGUGCAAACAGGAGGUGUGGACAACCCAUUAGCAAUUCACAGGUAUGAACUGCUCGCUUUCAUUUGCACUCAUAGAACUUAUGCACUCAUACAUCAGUGCGAUAAUUAAAGGGAGCUUUAAAAGCAAUUCACAGGUCUCAACUACUCACUUUCAGUUUCACUUGUAGAACUUAUGCACUCAGCCAACAAUUUGGGAAUUCAGAGGCGAUUUAAAAUCAACUCAAAAGUAUAUGAACGGCUCACUUUCAGUUGCUCUUAGACUUAUGUAAUAUCCCAACUAGGGAGGGAUGCAAUACCAAUAUAAAGCAACUCAUAGGCAUGAAUGAAAAAAAAAUCACUUAUCAAAAUAUUUUUUCUGAUUUCUUAGUCUUACUGAAGCCAUCCAGUAAGAAAGUGUAAAAGCAAGGAUAAUAUUUCAGGGAUUUCAUGAAUUUCCUGGAUAUUUCAGUAAAUUCACGAAAUCCCUGAGUGAAACAGUGAUUUCAUGA